AUACGGAGGGUGCGAGCGUUGUCCGGAAUCACUGGGCGUAAAGGGCGCGUAGGUGGCCUGUGGAAGUCUGCGGUGAAAGCCCGGCGCUCAACGCCGGGUCGGCCGUGGAUACUCUCGGGCUUGAGCUCACUAGAGGCAGAUGGAAUUCCGGGUGUAGCGGUGGAAUGGGUAGAGAUCCGGAAGAACACCGGUGGCGAAGGGGGUUUGCGGGGGUGAGGCUGACACUGAUGCCCGACAGCAUGGGGAGCAAACAGGAUUAGAUACCCUGGUAGUCCACGCCGUAAACGAUGGGCACUAGAUGCUUGGGGGAGCGACCCCCUGAGGGUCGUCGCUAACGCAUUAAGUGCCCCGCCUGGGGAGUACGGCCGCAAGGCUGAAACUCAAAUGAAUUGACGGGG
rnacentral:rRNA from 1 species